GCAUUGGUGGUUCAGUGAUAGAAUUUUUGCUUUCAAUGUGGGAGAACCUGGUUCAAUUCCCAGCCAAUGCA
rnacentral:tRNA from 1 species